rnacentral:rRNA from 1 species
GUCGAGGGGCAGCGGGGAGCAAGCUUGCUUGCUCUGCCGGCGACCGGCGCACGGGUGAGUAACACGUAUGCAACCUGCCCUCCGCAGGGGGAUAACCCGGAGAAAUCCGGACUAAUACCGCGUGGUACAUCUGUGGGGCAUCCCACGGGUGUUAAAAGGAAGUGAUUCCGGCGGAGGAUGGGCAUGCGGCGCAUUAGCUAGUUGGCGGGGUAACGGCCCACCAAGGCGACGAUGCGUAGGGGUUCUGAGAGGAAGGUCCCCCACACUGGUACUGAGACACGGACCAGACUCCUACGGGAGGCAGCAGUGAGGAAUAUUGGUCAAUGGGCGGGAGCCUGAACCAGCCAAGUCGCGUGAGGGAAGACGGUCCUAUGGAUUGUAAACCUCUUUAGGCGGGGAGCAAUGCCGGGCACGCGUGCCCGGAGGGAGAGUACCCGCAGAAUAAGCAUCGGCUAACUCCGUGCCAGCAGCCGCGGUAAUACGGAGGAUGCGAGCGUUAUCCGGAUUUAUUGGGUUUAAAGGGUGCGUAGGCGGAUUUUUAAGUCAGCGGUAAAAUGUCCGGGCUCAACCCGGGCCGGCCGUUGAAACUGGGGAUCUUGAGUGGGCGAGAAGUAUGCGGAAUGCGUGGUGUAGCGGUGAAAUGCAUAGAUAUCACGCAGAACUCCGAUUGCGAAGGCAGCAUACCGGCGCCCGACUGACGCUGAGGCACGAAAGCGUGGGGAUCGAACAGGAUUAGAUACCCUGGUAGUCCACGCAGUAAACGAUGAAUGCUAGUUGUCCGGUUCUU